AUUGAACGCUGGCGGCAUGCCUUACACAUGCAAGUCGAACGGCAGCGCGGGUGCUUGCACCUGGCGGCGAGUGGCGAACGGGUGAGUAAUAUAUCGGAACGUGCCCUAGAGUGGGGGAUAACGUAGCGAAAGUUACGCUAAUACCGCAUACGAUCUACGGAUGAAAGCGGGGGAUCGCAAGACCUCAUGCUCCUGGAGCGGCUGAUAUCUGAUUAGCUAGUUGGUGGGGUAAAGGCCCACCAAGGCGACGAUCAGUAGCUGGUCUGAGAGGACGACCAGCCACACUGGGACUGAGACACGGCCCAGACUCCUACGGGAGUCAGCAGUGGGGAAUUUUGGACAAUGGGGGCAGCCCUGAUCCAGCAAUGCCGCGUGAGUGAAGAAGGCCUUCGGGUUGUAAAGCUCUUUUGUCAGGGAAGAAACGGUGGGGGCUAAUACCUCCUGCUAAUGACGGUACCUGAAGAAUAAGCACCGGCUAACUACGUGCCAGCAGCCGCGGUAA
rnacentral:rRNA from 1 species